UGCAGAGUCCAGCUAUGAGGAAGCCUGCAAAGGCACAGCUCCCGCCCCUGUUCUCUCAGUUUCCCUUGAGUCUCUCAACAUCCGUCUUCAUGCUUUGUUAGUGCAACCAACAAGGGAGGAAGAAAAGAAUGAAUGAACUGUGGCAGCCACUUUGGAGAAAGGGAGAAAGAGGCUGAACAAAGUUUCUGUGCACCAUGUGUGUGCCUAGCUGCUGAAGAUGCGAAAGAGGGCAUUCUAUAUCUAGAACUGGAGUUACAUAUGGCCGUGUACUACAAGGUUCCUGCCUUGAAAUCCUGUCCUGACUUCCCUCAGCCAUGAAUGCAAGUCAGGAACCAUAAGCUUAAAUAAAUACUUUUCUUUCCAGUUCA